rnacentral:sRNA from 12 species
CGCCUAAACCCGCAAGGGCAUGGCAUCAAAACCUUCGCAGAUAAAAGCUCCUAGUCAGAGCAUCUGCGAAGGUUGUAUCCCGAAAGGGGUAUGGGUAGUCGAAAGGCUAUC